GGCUGCCUGCGGAUAUAGCCCCUUUUCUCGGCUGCCUUAUUGCCAGUUACAUUAAAUACAGUCUAUGACAAGAGUUUAUUGAUACUCUACGGCAGUCAACAUCCGUUGAUGAUGGUGAACGUCAUCCUACACAAUAACCUUCUCUCCCUGGUCUCUCUCACACCAGCCAUGAAUGUUUUCAAAGCCACACGGCACAAUCAAGGGAGCACGACACACAGCUUAGCGACCGUGAUCUGUGAACCUCUCCUCGCUGGAACCUUCUCAGGCAAUUCUUUCCCCCAGGAGGCUCCGGGGAUGCUGGGAUUUUUUUGCCAUCCUGCCGAAAGGGGAGAAGGUACCCGAAAUGCCGCGUGAAAUGGAUUCACCGAGCCCGUGCCUGGGAAGCAGCCCCGCCCGUUCCUUUUCAAGACCCAGUGCCGCCGUGGCCUGACAAGCGGAUGAUGAGGAAAAUAACCAGCUAACACAGGCAAGUUACAGAAUAUUGACGAGCCAACACGGUCCAUAUUCAUUUGUUGAAUAAAUGCAUCAGACUGUCUGAACAGCCUCAUCUCCGGGCAGUUAUAAAUCAGGGAAGGAUGUGCUGCAGUAUCAUGAUGGAAGAUUUUUAGUUUCCUGUAGAGGAGUGACACCAUCAAGAUGGCAACAUAGGUCAUUCCUGACCUUUGUCCCUUCCAUGAGAAGCCUCCGUAGCCAUCAUCCGUAGGUGAGACACCAUUGUGAAAAUCCCAGAACCCCUGGAUCUCAGAGACUGGGAAUGGGAAUGACUGCAUUUGGAGGACAAGAGGAGUGUCUGCACUCUGACUGCAUUGCCCGUCCCCCAGGACAGCACAGCCACAUACCAAGAGGGCCUCUCCAGGCCUAUAGCUUUUGUGGGAACGAGACCCCCAGUGGACAUCCAGCCACCCCAGCAUUGUGGGACACUUCUGGAGAGGCCCACUUGGAUCUUGCCUCAUGGGGAUCCCUGGGAGAUUCUGCAGGAUCACUGGGGGAAUCUUGACCACCGGGGAUCAGAUAGUGAUGGAGGAGGAGGCUGGGACUUACAGCAACCAGUGCCCAGAUGUUGGCAGACUGCAUUCCUGCUUGCCAUGGCACUUGAACAGAGAUCCCAUCUAGUGCCUCUGCCCAUCUACAGAACUGAGCUGGUGCCCCCGUCUGGUCAGGGAACUUGCUUGACAGUUCUGCCUGACUUGGGUCCCCAGUCAAUGAGCCUGACCAUCUAAGGAAUCUGCUCUAUAGUCCUACUUGGGCAAGGAACCAGAUUCUUAACCCCAUCCAAAUACUGAGUAUAGAUGCAUGUCCCAACCAACCAGGAAUGCUGCACAGGGAACCCGGGUAGCCACAGAGCUCAUCCCAUAAUCCCACUUGGGUGGAGAGCCAAGCCAGCAGCCCUGCCCGGCUGAUGAACGUAGCCUCUGGUCACACAUGUGAACAUGGCCUAUGGUACCACCUGGCCACGGAGCCCAGCCUUCAGCUCUGCCUCACAAUAGAGCCUAGCCCAUGGCCUUGCCUGAUUGCUGAACACAGCCCGAGGCCUCCCCUGGGUGGAUAGCCCAGACAGUGACCACUCAGUUACAUAGCAAAGUCUCUAGUCCCACCUAAUAGCAGGCUUAGCUAGAGGCACCUCUCGACCGGGGCACCCGGACAGCAACCUUGCCCAAAAGCAGAGCACGGAUAUGGGUCUUUCUGAUCACAAAGCCUGGCCUGUGGCCCCCACCAACUUCAGGGCACAGUCUAUCAUCCCACCUGAUUGCAGAGCACAGCUAGUUGGACGGGGCGUCCAACUGUGAAGCCCUGCCUUUAGCUCUGCCUGAAUGUGGAGUCCAGCCAACAGUACCAUCCAGUUGGGGAGCACACCCUGAGACCACACCUGACCCGGAGUGAUGUGGAGCCCAGUCUGUAGACUUCCCAAACACAUAGUCCAACUGUGGCACCACUCUGCUAGGGAACACAGCCUGUGACCUCGUCUGACCAGAGGCGAUUACAGAGCCCAGCUGGUGGCCCCACCUGACUGGGGAGCCCAGCCAGCGGAACCCCCAGCUAACCUCAGAGCACAGGCAGUGGCCUCACCCAACUAGAAACCCUGACAGCAAGCCCAGCCCUCACACAGACACUACCAGCUGACCCGUCCAAGACCCCAAGCUGAGCUAUGGUGAAGGACUGUCCCUGCCAAAGUGAACCUGUAAAGGCUGGACGAGGAGACUGCUCACUCAAGUGCACAGAAGCCAAUGCAAGGAAUCAGGAAUCAUGAUGACAACCAAACAUGACACAACCAAAGGAAACUAAUAAAGAUCUACACACAGACCCUAAGAAAUGGAGAUCUGUGAACUGUCUGGCAAAGAAUUCAGAAUAGUCAGAAUUCAGAAUGUAAAUGGGUGCAGCCACUAUGGAAAACAAUAUGGGGGUUCCUCAAAAAAUUAAAAAUUGAACUACCCUAUGAUCCAGCAGACCCACUUCUGGGUAUGAUCUGAAGGAAAUGAAAUCAGUAUCUGGAAGAGAGAGCUGGACCCCUAGGUUCAUUGACCCAUUAUUUACAAUAGUCUAGACAUGGAAAGAAGUUAAGUGCCCAUUGUCAGACAGAUAGGUAAGGACAACGUGAUGUGUCAUUUUUAAUCACAAAUAGUUUUAUUGGAACAUUUGUCUUUUCCUUAUUGAUUUGUAUUUUUCAAAUGGAACUAGUCAAAUGUUAAAAAAUAGAAACUAUACAGCACAUUUUUUGUUUUUAUUUUUUUCAUCUUGAUUUUUGUGAGGUUCAGUUGCCGGUUCUGCCAGGUAAUGACAGAAUAAACUUGGGAUUGUCAUUUAACCUCUCUGACACUCAGUAUUCCCAUCAGUGGAAGGGGAACAACAAAACCUAUCUGCAUCAUUUUGGGGUUUAAGUGGAAUAACACUUAAAAUACUUUGGCAACCUUUUGUGAUUGUGUAUACUUUUGGUGCUCUCAUAAAGCCCUACUGUACUUCUCAGGACAAUCACUUUAAAUUCGUAAAACGAAAUACAUAGAACUAUAAAGGAAGCCAAUUAUAUUACAGUUACCAAAAAACUUUUAAAGCAAGUUUGUGAUAGAAUACCAUACGUAUUUCUUUGUUAAUGUUAAAAAUGAAAAUAUCAAGCCGAUCUAUAAGUACUAUAACUAGUAGUGAAACACAUAAAUAGUAUUUUAAUGUAUCCGCCAAACGAAUACAUGAAAAUAUCUGUCGGGGCGCCUGGGUGGCUCAGUCGGUUGAGCGUCCAACUUCGGCUCAGGUCAUGAUCUCACGGUUCACGAGUUCGAGCCCCACGUCAGGCUCUGUGCUGACAGCUCAGAGCCUGGAACCUGUUUUGGAUUCUGUGUCUCCUUCUUUCUCUCUGCUUCUCCCUUGCUCACACUCUGUCUCUGUCUGUCUGAAAAAUAAAUAAAUGUUAAAAAAA